rnacentral:lncRNA from 1 species
AUUUCUUUAUUAAAAAACUAUAGAUUAGUAGAUUAAUCAUUAUUAUUAAUGUUCUAAUUAUCUUAAUAACUGCAGCACUAUGGCAUGGCAGUCACCAAACCAGGAAAUUAUCACAACAGCUUCCCAGAUCAAUGAUCUUAUGACUGGGAAAUACAUCGAUUACCAGGUAAGUUUCUCUUGACUUUAUAUUUGAUAAAUUUCCAUUACAUUCAGUAAGGCUUACAAGACAUAUUGAAUCAUUUCUUUUUUAUUAUCUAUAUGUAAAAGAUCAUUGAUUGGUAUGGACGAAAGGUUCUAAAUCAAUAUGAGAGCUUCAGAGAAAUUGAGCCAUUUCAAAGAGGAGUUGCCAUCUUCUCGGCUUAUGCAUGGGUAAGUAAUUUCCAAACUCAUCCUUUCUGAUGAAGUUGAUGUGUAUAUUAAUCAACUUAUAACAUUUGAAACAGACAUGGUUGCGCGACUUUAAAGGGCAGAAGAGAAGAAAGAAAACAAAUUCAGGUGAGAUUCAAAAUAAGGAAGACAUGUACUGGAAGGAAGUGAUUGAAAAAUUCAAUGGAAAGGAGAAGCUCUUUUUGUUUCCAUUAAACACUUCAAGAACUGCUAGAGACAAGGCUGGGUAUCAUUGGAGUCUUCUUGUGCUCGAGAAAGGUUUUGGAUGGACUCUUUAU